rnacentral:rRNA from 1 species
GAGUUUGAUCAUGGCUCAGAUUGAACGCUGGCGGCAGGCCUAACACAUGCAAGUCGAACGGUAACAGGAAACAGCUUGCUGUUUCGCUGACGAGUGGCGGACGGGUGAGUAAUGUCUGGGAAACUGCCUGAUGGAGGGGGAUAACUACUGGAAACGGUAGCUAAUACCGCAUAACGUCGCAAGACCAAAGAGGGGGACCCUCGGGCCUCUUGCCAUCGGAUGUGCCAGAUGGGAUUAGCUUGUUGGUGGGGUAACGGCUCACCAAGGCGACGAUCCCUAGCUGGUCUGAGAGGAUGACCAGCCACACUGGAACUGAGACACGGUCCAGACUCCUACGGGAGGCAGCAGUGGGGAAUAUUGCACAAUGGGCGCAAGCCUGAUGCAGCCAUGCCGCGUGUAUGAAGAAGGCCUUCGGGUUGUAAAGUACUUUCAGCGGGGAGGAAGGGAGUAAAGUUAAUACCUUUGCCCAUUGACGUUACCCGCAGAAGAAGCACCGGCUAACUCCGUGCCAGCAGCCGCGGUAAUACGGAGGGUGCAAGCGUUAAUCGGAAUUACUGGGCGUAAAGCGCACGCAGGCGGUUUGUUAAGUCAGAUGUGAAAUCCCCGGGCUCAACCUGGGAACUGCAUCUGAUACUGGCAAGCUUGAGUCUCGUAGAGGGGGGUAGAAUUCCAGGUGUAGCGGUGAAACGCGUAGAGAUCUGGAGGAAUACCGGUGGCGAAGGCGGCCCCCUGGACGAAGACUGACGCUCAGGUGCGAAAGCGUGGGGAGCAAACAGGAUUAGAUACCCUGGUAGUCCACGCCGUAAACGAUGUCGACUUGGAGGUUGUGCCCUUGAGGCGUGGCUUCCGGAGCUAACGCGUUAAGUCGACCGCCUGGGGAGUACGGCCGCAAGGUUAAAACUCAAAUGAAUUGACGGGGGCCCGCACAAGCGGUGGAGCAUGUGGUUUAAUUCGAUGCAACGCGAAGAACCUUACCUGGUCUUGACAUCCACGGAAGUUUUCAGAGAUGAGAAUGUGCCUUCGGGAACCGUGAGACAGGUGCUGCAUGGCUGUCGUCAGCUCGUGUUGUGAAAUGUUGGGUUAAGUCCCGCAACGAGCGCAACCCUUAUCCUUUGUUGCCAGCGGUCCGGCCGGGAACUCAAAGGAGACUGCCAGUGAUAAACUGGAGGAAGGUGGGGAUGACGUCAAGUCAUCAUGGCCCUUACGACCAGGGCUACACACGUGCUACAAUGGCGCAUACAAAGAGAAGCGACCUCGCGAGAGCAAGCGGACCUCAUAAAGUGCGUCGUAGUCCGGAUUGGAGUCUGCAACUCGACUCCAUGAAGUCGGAAUCGCUAGUAAUCGUGGAUCAGAAUGCCACGGUGAAUACGUUCCCGGGCCUUGUACACACCGCCCGUCACACCAUGGGAGUGGGUUGCAAAAGAAGUAGGUAGCUUAACCUUCGGGAGGGCGCUUACCACUUUGUGAUUCAUGACUGGGGUGAAGUCGUAACAAGGUAACCGUAGGGGAACCUGCGGUUG